rnacentral:rRNA from 1 species
AAUGAAGAGUUUGGUUGUAGCUGGCCCAUUUAUUUGGGCAUGUGCACACCUUCCUCUUUCAUCCCACACCACACCUGUGAACCUGUGAGACAGAUAGGGAAUUUACUUGUUGCUUUUUGGAAUACAAAGGCAAUAGGUCAUUGGACCCUCUGUCUACUCAAUUAAUAUAAACUCAAUUUAUUUUAAAACGAAUGUAAUGGAUGUAACACAUCUCAUACUAAGUUUCAACAACGGAUCUCUUGGCUCUCGCAUCGAUGAAGAACGCAGCGAAAUGCGAUAAGUAAUGUGAAUUGCAGAAUUCAGUGAAUCAUCGAAUCUUUGAACGCACCUUGCGCUCCUUGGUAUUCCUUGGAGCAUGCCUGUUUGAGUAUCAUGAAUUCUUCAAAGUAAAUCUUUUGUUAACUCAAUUGGUUUCACUUUGGUAUUGGAGGUCUUUUGCAGCUUCACACCUGCUCCUCUUUGUUCAUUAGCUGGAUCUCAGUGUUAUGCUUGGUUCCACUCGGCGUGAUAAAUUAUCUAUCGCUGAGGACACUGUAAAAAGGUGGCCAAGGUAAAUGCAAAUGAACCCCUUCCAAAAAUCCCAUUGACUUGAACAAUACCUUUAUGAUCUGAAUCUCAAAUCAGGUAGGACUACCC